AGAUUAAGCCAUGCAUGUCUCAGUGCAAGCCGUCCAGCACGGUGAAACCGCGAAAGGCUCAUUAAAUCAGUUAUGGUUCCUUAGAUUGUACCCACGUUACUUGGAUAACUGUGGUAAUUCUAGAGCUAAUACAUGCCGAUAGAGUUCCGACCAGCGUCGGGCGCGGUUCAGGCCGUCGUUCGGCGUUCGGAAGGAACGCUCUUAUUAGAUCAAAACCGGCCAAGCGGUCGUUGGCGUUCCGACGCGUUCGACCGUAAGUGGCCCGCGCAAAGACUUGACGACUCUGAAUAAUUUCGAGCUGAUCGCACGGUCUCGUACCGGCGACGUAUCUUUCAAAUGUCUGCCUUAUCAACUGUCGACGGUAGGUUCGAUGCCUACCGUGGUGGUAACGGGUAACGGGGAAUCAGGGUUCGAUUCCGGAGAGGGAGCCUGAGAAACGGCUACCACAUCUAAGGAAGGCAGCAGGCGCGCAAAUUACCCACUCCCAGUUCGGGGAGGUAGUGACGAAAAAUAACGAUACGGGACUCUUAUGAGGCCUCGUAAUCGGAAUGAGUACACUUUAAAACCUUGGUCACACGAGGAUCAAU
rnacentral:rRNA from 1 species